rnacentral:rRNA from 1 species
AUUGAACGCUGGCGGCAGGCCUAACACAUGCAAGUCGAACGAGUGGCGGACGGGUGAGUAAUGUCUGGGAAACUGCCUGAUGGAGGGGGAUAACUACUGGAAACGGUAGCUAAUACCGCAUACCAUCGGAUGUGCCCAUAUGGGAUUAGCUAGUUGGUGGGGUAACGGCUAACCUAGGCGACGAUCCCUAGCUGGUCUGAGAGGAUGACCAGCCACACUGGGACUGAGACACGGCCCAGACUCCUACGGGAGGCAGCAGUGGGGAAUAUUGCGCAAUGGGCGCAAGCCUGACGCAUCCAUGCCGCGUGUAUGAAGAAGGCCGUCGGGUUGUAAAGUACUUUCAGCGAGGAGGCGUUAAUCGCAGAAGAAGCACCGGCUAACUCCGUGCCAGCCGCCGCGGUAAUAC